rnacentral:rRNA from 1 species
UACGUAGGGUGCAAGCGUUAAUCGGAAUUACUGGGCGUAAAGCGUGCGCAGGCGGUUUUGUAAGACAGAGGUGAAAUCCCCGGGCUCAACCUGGGAACUGCCUUUGUGACUGCAAGGCUUGAGUGCGGCAGAGGGGGAUGGAAUUCCGCGUGUAGCAGUGAAAUGCAUAGAUAUGCGGAGGAACACCGAUGGCGAAGGCAAUCCCCUGGGCCUGCACUGACGCUCAUGCACGAAAGCGUGGGGAGCAAACAGG